rnacentral:rRNA from 1 species
GAUGAACGCUGGCGGCGUGCCUAAUACAUGCAAGUCGAGCGAACAGAUGAGGAGCUUGCUCCUCUGACGUUAGCGGCGGACGGGUGAGUAACACGUGGAUAACCUACCUAUAAGACUGGGAUAACUUCGGGAAACCGGAGCUAAUACCGGAUAAUAUAUUGAACCGCAUGGUUCAAUAGUGAAAGACGGUUUUGCUGUCACUUAUAGAUGAAUCCGCGCCGCAUUAGCUAGUUGGUAAGGUAACGGCUUACCAAGGCAACGAUGCGUAGCCGACCUGAGAGGGUGAUCGGCCACACUGGAACUGAGACACGGUCCAGACUCCUACGGGAGGCAGCAGUAGGGAAUCUUCCGCAAUGGGCGAAAGCCUGACGGAGCAACGCCGCGUGAGUGAUGAAGGUCUUCGGAUCGUAAAACUCUGUUAUUAGGGAAGAACAAAUGUGUAAGUAACUAUGCACGUCUUGACGGUACCUAAUCAGAAAGCCACGGCUAACUACGUG